ACGGGACGCCGGAAGUCUCUGAGCCUGGCGGCGUCCGAGCUGAAGCUUCCCCGGCUUCCCAAUUGCCCAAGGUCAGGCUCCGCCAGCCCUCGAAGGGGAGGGUUGUGGUUUGCAGAAGAUGCUAGGGUAGGUUGCCGGGAAGCCUGCCCGCCGACCACACAAGUUUUCACACUUGUUUAUGAAGAUUUAUACUGAGCUCCGUAGGAGCCUGGGUAUCUGACCGCGGUCUGAAAAGCUUUACAGCCUUCAGGUCCUUGCCACAGUGACACUCUUUCCCCAAUCCAUGAGUGGGGUAAAUUACGAGGUGGAAAGUGGGUUUUGUGUGUGGUGUUUUUCUUUUUUCACUUUAAAGUUAUAUUUUACAGUAAAAACGAUAGAGUUUAUUUUUUAAAAUCUAAGCGAUCUCAUUUCCCCACUGUGAGACAGGGGGCUGGCUGUCUUGGAACUCGUUCUGUAGACAAAGCUGGCCUGGAGCUCAGAGAGAUCCGCCUGCCUCUGCCUCUCUAGUGCUGGGCUUAUCUUAGGGUCCUGCGUCUGGUAGUACUUUAUAAAUGCAAAACACUUUCCUCAAAAAUCAGUUUUGGAAAAAGAUGCUGAUGGAAUAGGAGUCCACUACAAUGGGAAGAAUUGGAUUAUCCUACCCUAGUAGUGAAAAGGCAUCGAAGGUAGGAAGGUUGCACACUAUCUGUAGGAUGACCGCUAUUUUGUUAACAUCUUUCCUUUUAAGAAUGUUAACAAUGUUAAAUACACAUCUGUAAUAUUGCAGUGUAUAAUAUCAUUCCUUUUAUUAAGGUGGAAUCAGAGUUGUCACUUACUC
rnacentral:lncRNA from 1 species